rnacentral:rRNA from 1 species
AGCGAACGCUGGCGGCAGGCUUAACACAUGCAAGUCGAGCGGCCGUAGCAAUACGGCAGCGGCAGACGGGUGAGUAACACGUGGGAACGUGCCUUUCGGUUCGGAAUAUCCCAGCGAAAGCUGGGGCAAUACCGGAUACGCCCUUACGGGGAAAGAUUUAUCGCCGAAAGAUCGGCCCGCGUCUGAUUAGCUUGUUGGUGGGGUAACGGCCCACCAAGGCGACGAUCAGUAGCUGGUCUGAGAGGAUGAUCAGCCACACUGGGACUGAGACACGGCCCAGACUCCUACGGGAGGCAGCAGUGGGGAAUAUUGGACAAUGGGGGAAACCCUGAUCCAGCCAUGCCGCGUGAGUGAUGAAGGCCCUAGGGUUGUAAAGCUCUUUCGGCGGGGAAGAUAAUGACGGUACCCGCAGAAGAAGCCCCGGCUAACUUCGUGCCAGCCGCCGCCGUAAUAC